rnacentral:rRNA from 1 species
GUGCCAGCAGCCGCGGUAAUACGAAGGGGGCUAGCGUUGUUCGGAAUCACUGGGCGUAAAGCGCGCGUAGGCGGGUCGUUAAGUCAGGGGUGAAAUCCCGAGGCUCAACCUCGGAACUGCCUUUGAUACUGGCGACCUGGAGUCCGGGAGAGGUGAGUGGAACUCCUAGUGUAGAGGUGAAAUUCGUAGAUAUUAGGAAGAACACCAGUGGCGAAGGCGGCUCACUGGCCCGGUACUGACGCUGAUGCGCGAAAGCGUGGGGAGCAAACAGGAUUAGAAACCCCCGUAGUCC